rnacentral:rRNA from 1 species
CCCUAAGAGUGCCAUUAUCUGGGGAACCUGGGUAAACCGGGUUAAUUUGCAACCCCGUUUUAGAUAGGAGGGGUUUUGGGCUUCACUAUGGAGGGCCCCCGUCGCAUAGCUAGUUGGUGAUGUAACGGCUCACCAAGGCGGCGAUGAUUAGCCGACCUUAGAGAGGAUUCGCCACCCGGGACUGAGACACGCUCCGAUUCUCCGGGAGGCCGCAGUAGGGGAUUUUCGCAAAGAGGGAAGUCCGUGGUGCAACCCCGCGUGAGUGUGAAGGCUUUCGGGUUGUUAAACUUCGUUUUUAUGGAAGAACAAGUGGUAUUUGAAUAUGCCCGCACCUUGACGGUACCUAAUCAGAAAGCCACGGCUAACUACGUGCCAGCAGCCGCGGUAAUACGUAGGUGGCAAGCGUUAUCCUGAAUUAUUGGGCGUAAAGCGCGCGCAGGUGGUUUUUUAAGUGUGAUGUGAAAGCCCACGGCUCUACCGUGGAGGGUCAUUGGAAACUGGAAGACUUGAGUGCAGAAGAGGAAAGUGGAAUUCCAUGUGUAGCGCUGAAAUGCGCAGAGAUAUGGAGGAACACCCUGGGGAAGGGGACUUUCUGGUCUGUAACUGACACUGAGGUGCGAAAGCGUGGGGAGCAAACACGAUUAGAUACCCUGGUAGUCCACGCCGUAAACGAUGAGUGAUAAGUGUUAGGGGGUUUCCCCCCUUAUGCUGCAGUAAACGCAUAAAGCAUCCCGCCUGAUAGCCCACGUC